UAGAGUUUGAUCAUGGCUCAGAUUGAACGCUGGCGGCAGGCCUAACACAUGCAAGUCGAGCGGAAACGAGUUAUCUGAACCUUCGGGGAACGAUAACGGCGUCGAGCGGCGGACGGGUGAGUAAUGCCUAGGAAAUUGCCCUGAUGUGGGGGAUAACCAUUGGAAACGAUGGCUAAUACCGCAUGAUGCCUACGGGCCAAAGAGGGGGACCUUCGGGCCUCUCGCGUCAGGAUAUGCCUAGGUGGGAUUAGCUAGUUGGUGAGGUAAGGGCUCACCAAGGCGACGAUCCCUAGCUGGUCUGAGAGGAUGAUCAGCCACACUGGAACUGAGACACGGUCCAGACUCCUACGGGAGGCAGCAGUGGGGAAUAUUGCACAAUGGGCGCAAGCCUGAUGCAGCCAUGCCGCGUGUAUGAAGAAGGCCUUCGGGUUGUAAAGUACUUUCAGUCGUGAGGAAGGCGGNGUNGUUAAUAGCGGCNUUGUUUGACGUUAGCGACAGAAGAAGCACCGGCUAACUCCGUGCCAGCAGCCGCGGUAAUACGGAGGGUGCGAGCGUUAAUCGGAAUUACUGGGCGUAAAGCGCAUGCAGGUGGUUUGUUAAGUCAGAUGUGAAAGCCCGGGGCUCAACCUCGGAAUAGCAUUUGAAACUGGCAGACUAGAGUACUGUAGAGGGGGGUAGAAUUUCAGGUGUAGCGGUGAAAUGCGUAGAGAUCUGAAGGAAUACCGGUGGCGAAGGCGGCCCCCUGGACAGAUACUGACACUCAGAUGCGAAAGCGUGGGGAGCAAACAGGAUUAGAUACCCUGGUAGUCCACGCCGUAAACGAUGUCUACUUGGAGGUUGUGGCCUUGAGCCGUGGCUUUCGGAGCUAACGCGUUAAGUAGACCGCCUGGGGAGUACGGUCGCAAGAUUAAAACUCAAAUGAAUUGACGGGGGCCCGCACAAGCGGUGGAGCAUGUGGUUUAAUUCGAUGCAACGCGAAGAACCUUACCUACUCUUGACAUCCAGAGAACUUUCCAGAGAUGGAUUGGUGCCUUCGGGAACUCUGAGACAGGUGCUGCAUGGCUGUCGUCAGCUCGUGUUGUGAAAUGUUGGGUUAAGUCCCGCAACGAGCGCAACCCUUAUCCUUGUUUGCAAGNGAGUAAUGUCGGGAACUCCAGGGAGACUGCCGGUGAUAAACCGGAGGAAGGUGGGACACUCAAUCUCAUCAUGGCCCUUACGAGUAGGGCUACACACGUGCUACAAUGGCGCAUACAGAGGGCAGCAAGCUAGCGAUAGUGAGCGAAUCCCAAAAAGUGCGUCGUAGUCCGGAUUGGAGUCUGCAACUCGACUCCAUGAAGUCGGAAUCGCUAGUAAUCGUGGAUCAGAAUGCCACGGUGAAUACGUUCCCGGGCCUUGUACACACCGCCCGUCACACCAUGGGAGUGGGCUGCAAAAGAAGUAGGUAGUUUAACCUUCGGGAGGACGCU
rnacentral:rRNA from 1 species